GUUGUUGAAUUUUUAAAUAUGCAUUUCUUACAUGAUUAAUUUAUGCUUCUCAUCUAAACAUAUGUUAAUCAUGUACCAUGUAUUUAUUCAGUAAGGAUGUUCAACCAUAUAGAAUUAAUCAUGUUGAAGCUAAAUGAAGUAGUUAUGUUUUGUUCAGAAACCCCGCCCCUUUUCGAAGGAAACCAAUUCGCGCCCAUCGCCAUUUUGUCUCUUGCUGUGGAUGGGAUCUGAGCUCUACACUGAGACCCCUUAUUCUCCUGGACUGUUUAUUGUUUAUUUUUUAUUUUUUAUUUUUUUGGAAUGCUGUUUAGUAGUGAUAUCUGAUAUUUCACCAGACAAGUGCACUUAUUGACAUCCACUUCACUGUCAGUCCAAAGCCUCUACAUUAAUGGGUGCACAGCUGCAGUUAGAUUGGAGUUACCAAAACAUCCACACUUUGGACAUUUCUGCCAUUAUCCAUG